ACAAUCUUAUUAGUUUGUUUUAUGUCUUUACAAAUGUUCAAUUCAUAUGUUUUGUGGAAAGCUGAACUCAAUAUCGUCUAUAAUGUACCACUUCUUUAAAACAUAAGCGAUCAAUAUGUUUGGUUUAAACUUAUUUAUUACGACAUAGUAACAUAUUCACAAGUUACAAGACAUUGACAUAGGAUCAAUAUGUUUCAAUUAUGGUCCUCUUCCAGUUAGAAUAUAACUAUAGUACCUUGACCUUAUUGAAUAUGAACAAUUUCCCCAUGGUGGCUUACUUUAUACUGUCAAGCUCUUGAAUAGUCGAGCGCGCUGUUUUCUGACAGCUCUUGUUGUUUUUCUCAUCGACAUUUCCAUUUUAACAUUUAGUAGCCAAAAGGGUCCAAGUCCCCUUGAUCUCGCAAGAACGUACUGCCAGAAUUACGUUGAUCCACCAGGGUUUGAAGUAAAACCGUCAAUGAUGUCAUAGGCGAAGGAGUCUUUGCCACUAAGCCUUUUAAAAAAGGAGACUUUCUUCUCGAAUACAAAGGGGAUCUGAUAACACGAGUAAAACAUGCACGGCAAUUAGAAAAGGAGUAUGAAAAGGAGGGUCAAGGCAGCUUCAUUUACUUUUUUAAAUACAGAGACAAAUCUUGCUGCACUGACGCUACCAACGAUAUAUUUCAUGAGGGUCGAAUGAUAAAUGAUGCCGAAAAUGGAGACGCAAAACAAUAUUGUGUAAUGAAAAUAGUUGAAGUCAACCAAACUCUCCAUCUAUGCACUUUCGCCGACAGAGACAUUGCAAUUGGCGAGGAACUCCGAUAUGAUUAUGGAGUACCAACACUUCCAUGGAGAAAGGCAACACAAUGACUACUAGAUCUACGGACAGCCAGGAACCAGGACAAACAACAUCCACACACACGGAAGAAGUCAAUGAGACGAAAUGUACGGAACAAAAAAGGGCAACACAAUGACUACUGGAUCUACGGACAGCCAGGGACCAGGACAAACAACAUCCGUACACACGGAAGAAGUCGAUGAGACGAAAAGGGUACUUCAAAUACCAGGAGAACAAAACAAGCAGCCAAAAAGCAAUGGAGUGAAAACGAAAAAGGAGCUGUCCACAGACACUUUGAUCGUUUUUUGAUAAUGGGUAAAUUACCAGGGAAAAAAGAAAUACUUGCAUGUAUUGAAUGUGAGAAUGACCUUCACAACAGAAGUUGGAAAAAUGUCAAAGACUUUUGCAGAAAUUUAAUUGAAACAAAAAAGCGACGAGGACUUUUAACUUAAAAAAAAUAUUACACAUAUAAUGCACGUUUAGGAGAAUACGUUAAAGGAUGAAGUUGCCACAUUUUUUUGUGUUUUCUUGUUCUAUAUACUCUUUUCGAAAACGAUAUAUGUGUGCUUAUUGUAUUUGAAUGUUUUAUUAAUACGGUUCAGUCAAAAACGUUAUUUGUUCAUAAUCAUAUCGCCGAACAAAUUAGGAUUGGUAUAUAGUUCGGCCAAAGAGUGUUUCUUUGUACUUUCUAUGACGAAUUUCUACGAGUUACUCACUAUACAAGUUAUUUUUUACCCUAAACUUGGUGUAUAUAAAUGAAUAUAGCAAACAUGAUAAAAAAUCAAUCUAGAAGGCUAAACGUUCAGAGAAGGCACAACAAAAUUCAGUCGGAUAAAUGGAAACAAACGUUUUGUUCAAGCAUAACAAACAAACACUUUUAGAUGUAAUAAGAUAAAUGUAAAUAACAUAAAAAAACUACUGCUAAACUACUGCUACAAUAUGAAGAAUACAAAUGAAUAUUUUGUCAAUUUUACUAAAUUUGUUUUGAAUGACAGGUGUCUGACUUGCAGUUGAGUACUUAAUAGAUAUUUUAAAGUAAAAAUUUACCAAAAUGUAAAUUAUUGCGUAAAUAUCGCACUAGAAUUGAUUAAAUAGUUGUUAAAUAUUACAAUAAUUUCCAACACAGAUUUGUGUGCAUUUGUUUUGCGUGUAGAUAUUCACAUAAGCUAUCAAUUCACAUAUUUGCUUUGUGUAUAUAAUUGGUAUGUUUAUAUGUUUUUCAUAUCAAAAUUGCUUGAUCUACAAAAAUUCGCGAGGAGUUUUGCAUUUUUUCCCAUGUUUUAAUUGAAGUUUAUAAUUCAACGACGAUGAAAAUUACUAAGAUGCCAGAUUUAGUUAUGUGUUUGUCUCAUUUAUGGUUAAAGAUCAAUUAACAUACCCAUUUCCCAGACUAAGAUAUUGUUAAAACAAUUUAUCGCGUUUGCGACUGACCUCUUUUAUGCAUUCUAACACAAGCUAUUUACUUGUUUUUUUUUCGAAUACUCUUCAUGUACACACACUUGAACAAGCUGUAGAUUACCUAGAACAAAACAUAUUUGAAACAUAUAUUCAUAUGUGAUAUGUAAAUGCAUGCACAAAGCUAAUAAUUUAUCAUGUUUAUACACUUUGCGAUAUGAUGCUAUAAUGUCGGUUGUUUUAAGUGAUUAAUCAUUAUGUUAACCAUGUUAUCUGCCAUCUGGAAUGUAAUUAAGUGUUUUGACAUGUAUGCGAAAUUGAUCGUGUUCGAUUUGGUGCUGUAUAUUCAGAAUUGAGUCACACUGUUAUAA